rnacentral:lncRNA from 1 species
UCGCGCUGGCUGCCUAACGCCGCCGCCGCGGUGAAAACCCAACCCGGAAGCUACCGAGAGGGGGCGCAAACGCACCCGCCACUAGGGGCGCUUUGCGCCGCCGCCAAGCCGCGCCCCCGGCACCUGACCACGCCUCUCAGACUGCGCCGGCGCGGGCGCUGUCCCCGACAUCCUGAGGCUCGCGGGUGGGGACUGCUCUAGAGCGCUGGCACCGAGUCUGUCCCGCGGGGACGGGCAGCGCGUACGGAGGUGCCGCAGGUGAUGACAGCGGCAGAGCCUAGCAGUCAGACAGAACCGCCGUUCCUCGUCCGAGGUGGACGUGUCUCUGCCUGAGCGCACAGGGCUGGAGUGCAGGGCCGGAGGUGGGGGCGGGGCUUCAGGUGAGGCCCGGAUGUGUAGAGGUCUUUACACUGGGGGCAGGAGUCCAGGUAGCCCUAACCAGGAGCUGCGGGUGGAUCAGGCUCCUGACGGGAAUGGAGUGGGAUUGUGACUGCCCAGGAUCACACCCCGAGCUCGAUGGUCCCAAAGCCUCAGACACCAGCUCAUCCGCCUUGCAGUCUCUCCCAGCUCAGCCUGGUGUUGGAAAGAGAAACAUGAAGGUCCCCACGGCAGAACAGUCACAUCCUAGAUGGUAGAAGGAAGCCAGGUCUGCAGCUCAACGCAGAAUUUACACUCUGGGCGCUCCACCUCCAGCCCCUUACUAUGUAAUCUUGUACUACCAUUUUCUUAUCUGAGAAUGGAAAUAAUAGAGGUGACGUGAGAAUUCAGUUAAUGUAUUUAUGAAGCCUUUAGAACAAGGGUGUGGUGGAGGGAGGGAGGGAGAGAGGAUAGUUAGUGGGUACAAUUGAAUAGGAAGAAUGAUGCCUGAUGGUCCGCCGCACAGUAGGACAACGGCAGCUGAUAACAAUUGAGAGGAUUCUGAGUGUUUCCAACAAAGAAAUGAUAUUUGUCUUCACUGACUUUUUUUUUUUUUUUUUUUUUAGAGAGAGAAUUUCAAUACACAACCCAGGCUGCAUGCAUGCCAGGCGAGCGCGCUACCACUUGAGCCACAUCCCCAGCUCUCUUCACUGACAUUUGAUCCUUACAUCAAAUCCUUACCCUGAUUUUGAUCCUUACACAUUGUAUACUUGUAUUGAAAUACCACACUAUACUCCCUAAAUAUGUGUAAUUACUGUCAGUUAAAAAUGUAUUAAAAUAAAGCAGCACCUUUUGUCUUGUGGAAAAGAAAUUUAGAACAGUGGCAAAGUACAA